UUUCAUCAUUCAAGGAGGCAGACUGUCUUUUCCACUGGCCUAGGUAUGGUGAUGAUGUGACCUGAGGACUGCUCAGGGCCACAAUGUGAAAAGUAAAAAUGAAGUCAACCAGAAAAAUCAGGCACAGAGGUGCCUCACAAAAAUAUCUGCACUCAGAACAUCCUAAUAAUUUCCUGAAGAUAUUGAGAUAAUAUUCUCUUGAAAAUACUGUCAUCAUCCCCCUGAAGAUAUUAUUCUCCUCCAAAACUUCUCACGUCUGGAAAUAGCAUAGCCAUCCACUGAGUUCUCAUUCUUGACAUCUGGGACUCCUUACUGACACCUCACUCAAACUCUCAUAUAUAAAGGAGGAGACUAAUGUCACAUGAUUAUGGAAUUAAAAGAAACAAUUCAUGUGAAACUGCUCUGUCUUGCAAUGGGCAUCCCGGGAGGCUCAGCGGUUUAGCGCCGCCUUCCGCCCAGGGCCUGAU